UCUGCUCACAGAAAAAAGCGGCCACCGCCAGCCGCUGCUUCUGCUGGCGUCGCCGCAGCAGAGCAGCCAUUAUCCUGCAGGAGGCUGCGACCUGAUCCCUGGGCCGUGCAAUUAGCAUGGCUGCGAAAUAAACGAAAGCCGAAAAGGCCAGCGAAUCCACAAAUACUCGAAAAACUCGGUGCCAAAGUGUUGAAAAUACAGGGGAUGUAUGUUCCCCAAAAUAUAUUGAUUGCCAAACUAGUAAAACCUCAAGUAAAAAUGGAUUUAGAGCUGCAUUCCGAGCAGGACACACAAACUACACGGAGCAUCUGCCGGAACUCCCUCCACCUCCUCCUCCUCCUCCUCAUCCUCCGGCCAUUACUCAGCAGUCUUAGCAGGGCUUAGUGCUGAAUCAUCGGCACCAUCGUUACCGAUUACCAAUUUACUCAUUUACCGAUUUGGAGCAGGAACGAGAAGGCUUAAGAAGUGGCGCCCAACGCUGGGAACUGCUUCUUCUGCUUCUUCCACUGGCGACAGCGAUCCAGGUCGGGAGCUUAGCGAGGCGACUUGCUGAUUGAUUUCAGUGCAAACAGAAGACCCCGGAGCCAACUCCCCGCCCUCGGGCAGAUCUAUCAUUCAUUAAAUGUGUUUCUUGUCUAUCCAAUUUCCAGGCCGCGCACCCAUUUUAUCGACGUGAAGAAAGUGCCGUAAUCCGGGGGCAAUCAAUUAGAUACAAGCGCACUAAGCACUCCCAAAGACAUCGCCGUAUCUUAUCUUAUCGCCGCUUCUUCCGAUAAGGUCGGGCCUUACUUUCCGCACUCUGUUUUUUUCGGACUACUGCCUAAUCUCGGGGCCCUCGGCGAGGUCUUGGCUUCAGUUGGUUUCCAGAGGCGAGGGCGAAGACAACACGGAGCUGGCUCCUGCGGCGGAAAGGCUUCCGUGACUCUCCGGACACGGACACGGACACGGACACGAACACGGACACGGAGACCUCGCGAUUGCCUCCAUUUAAUUGGCAGGCCACCGCGAGCUUUGUAAUCACAUUUAUGGGUCGUUCCAUAAUUUCGAAGGGAAUCAGGCAAACGGUUGUAUAGUAGUCGCCAGCCAUCGCCGCAUCACGUGUGGCACGAUAAAUAUAAUAUACCCGAGGCGCAUGUAAUUGCCCCGCCGCCUAAA